ACAGACCCACAUUGAUUCAUUGUAUCUGGACGAGGCUCUUGAAAUACCAGCAGUUUUAGUUGGUUAAUACCACCAUGAAGAGAGGUUAAUGGCAGAAUUCACUCCUAGAAUUCAUUCUGGCAGUUCCGAUUAUUCAUUACAGGAAUGCAGCUCAUAGGUCAUUCUCUUGCCUAUAUAUUGAUCAAUCUUGUAUUCCAUUCUUCAUGAGUUCUACGGAAUACACAAAGCUCCAUGCUGAUAUUGUUCUUGUGUGAGAGAGAGGUAGAUGUAAAGUUCAGUGGCGUUUCGACAUUCGCGGUCCGAACCAGAUCAAUCCUGGGAGACAGACACUGAUUAACCUCAACACCCUCCGGUAGGCGGUGAAUCUAUUUUAAGGACACCGUGAACACAGGUUUCGGUUCACAACUCUAUAUUGUAUUCGGUUUGCAAUUCUGGAUCUGUAAUUUCAAAUUGUUGUAAAUUAUGUUUAUGUAAUCAUGCUUGAAUUCGUAUUCUGGAUACCCAAUUGUAAACAUUUUGGACAACAAAAAGUGCCCAAGAAGAGCCCACGACAUGUUUGCUACAUAGAAAAGAACUAUAAGAAGGGUUUGGCCCAAUAGGUGGCGACCCAGCACUCAAUCCAACACUAUAAAUUCAUAUUUGGACUUCUCCAGCACCCUGAAAUAAGGCCCACUAUUUUCUUUUGAAUUAGUAUUAUCAAAAUUUAUUUCCAUUAUUUUGGUAGUGAGGGAUUGGAAGCAGACGUGGCAGUCAAGCACUGGUAGUACAUGCUGCAACCAAGGAUUGGUAAUAGUAGUAAGUAGUAAGGUUUGGGCAUUCGAAACUUGGGACAUCUACAAGACUCAAGGAGUUCCGCUCCUAAGAAAAAUUUCAAAGGUCGGACUCGGCUCAUCAGAGCUCGUUACACUGAAACAAGUCAAACUGAGCCAAAAUUUAAGCCCGAAUCCAGUUCGUCAAUAAUUUUUUUCAAAGCUCGUGGUCGAUUCAUUGGGGCUUGUCAAACUCAAACUAACAGAAUCGAGCCGAAUAUAGGCUCUAAUUUAGUUUGUCAGUAAUUUAUUUCAAGUACCACAUCAAUAUUCCCUAAGAUAUUAGAAAAAAGGAAAAAGAAAAAAGAUCCAGUCAAAGAUUAUCAACAAGAUUACAUGAAGGUCCUCAACAUAAGGAAAGGGAAAAAAAAAUCCGCGAAGAAUAUGACCAAAAAAAGUCGAGAGCACUACAUUCAAUGAGUAGUUGUUAUUAACUAGUUACAUACCUUGCAACGCACAUGAAAAUUCUCUAUAGACAAAUAUUAAUAUAUAACGAAAAGUACGGUUACAUGUACAAUUUAGGACAAAAACCUUUCUGGUAUCAUGUUGCAUGUUGUCAUAACUUAAAUAUAUAAGCUGGGACUUAAAUAUAUAAGCUGGGACAUAGUCAUGUAUGGAUUGACCUCAAAUCCUGGGAACCUCUCAGGCAGAGCCAGGAAUCUCGCAAUAGGGUUAAUAUUUAGAAAUAUAUGUGAUACCUGAUCUUAUUUGCUAAAAAAAAUUGAAUAUGUAUUACAACUAGAAAGCUAUUUAGUUUUUGGUAUUUUAUAUAUGGGGCCGGUUCCGCUCACACCUAUUUUGACACCUUUUUUAACACCCGAUUUUGUUUCAAGUCCCACUGCAAUGUUUCGAACUGUUGAUCUUAUUUUAAUUAGUAAAAUAGAGGGCCCUGCAAAAAUUCAGCUCAAUUUGAUAUCCGUAAGUACUUGAUCUAAAUAGUUUUACAAAAAUUGUGACAGGAACUAGUGUUUGCAAAACCGUUUGGGUCAAACCCUUACUAAUAUCAAAAUGAGCUGAUUUUUGUAGGACACCCUAUUUUACUCAUUUAAACAAGAUCAACGGUUGAAAAUAGCACAGUGAGACCAGGAAAGGUGAGGUGUCAAAAUGGGUGUCAUAAUAGAUGUGAGCGGAACCGGCAUAUAUGUGUAAAAGAGGGGGGAAAAACAAUUUUAUUGUGAAUAAGCCAUGCAAGAGAGAAUUAAAGGUGAGAACUUUCUUCUGGUUUUAGUAACCAUAUUUGCUUACUAUAGAUAAUAUCAAUCCCAUCAAUCCAUGAAUAAUUCUCCAAUCUAGUAUAUACAUAUACGAUAGUAAAAGCGGAGUUUAUCUCAAACUUACCCAGUAGAUUCCUUCCGGAAAACCAUCCCAGCCAUACUCGCAACCUCUUUAAGCACUGCACUCCAUCCCUUCGCUUUGUCAGCCGCCACUUCCUUUUUUUCAAAAAUCAGAUUCUUUGACUGCUCCUUGAGCACCCAAGGUUCCACCUUAUAAAACACGGGCAAAACGACAUGAUCCGUCUUCUUACAGAGUUCGAAAAUAGUUUGGAGUUCGAACAGGCACGCCGUCGAAUUAGCGUAAUUUUCGGAUAACACGAUCACCGACAUCCUGGAAUUCCGGAUUGCUUCCAGCAACUCGGAUUUGAUGACCUCACCCCUCUCGAUCUCGUCGUCGUCCCUGAAUGUUUGGAACCCCUCGUGCAUGAGAGCGUGGUAGAGGUGAUCGGUGAAAUCAUAGCGGGUGUCUAAGCCCCUAAAGCUC